UACGGAGGGGGCUAGCGUUAUUCGGAAUUACUGGGCGUAAAGCGCACGUAGGCGGCUUUGUAAGUAAGAGGUGAAAGCCCGGAGCUCAACUCCGGAACUGCCUUUUAGACUGCAUCGCUUGAAUCCAGGAGAGGUGAGUGGAAUUCCGAGUGUAGAGGUGAAAUUCGUAGAUAUUCGGAAGAACACCAGUGGCGAAGGCGGCUCACUGGACUGGUAUUGACGCUGAGGUGCGAAAGCGUGGGGAGCAACAGG
rnacentral:rRNA from 1 species